rnacentral:rRNA from 1 species
UUCGUAGGCGGUGCGGCAAGUCGGGAGUGAAAUCUCUGGGCUUAACUCAGGGGCUGCUCCUGAAACUGCCGUGCUCGAGUGCGGGAGAGGCGAGUGGAAUUGCAGGUGUAGCGGUGAAAUGCGUAGAUAUCUGCAGGAACACCCGUGGCGAAGGCGGCUCGCUGGACCGCAACUGACGCUGAGGAACGAAAGCUAGGGGAGCAAACAGGAUUAGAUACCCUGGUAGUCCUAGCCCUAAACCAUCAGGACUUGGGGUGCAUCCCGUUCGGGGUGCGUCCCGGAGCUAACGCGUUAAGUCCUGCGCCUGGGGAGUACGGUCGCAAGGCUGAA